rnacentral:tmRNA from 19 species
GGGCUUCCGCUACCGAAAAUCGCCCCUAUAUUUGCAGUGCCAGUGCGCUGGCUAUGACAAUAAACCGCCGUCGCAAUAAACCAUUCGGACCCGGGGGCAGUACCCGGCGCCUCCACCAAAGUCCGCGAAAUCCGCGGGCUUCGGCGGGGGCGAAACAGGAUCGACGAGGGCGUAAAGGGCGAGCUUUUGUCCGGAAUGGUUCCGCCGUGAUCGGGCCAUGCAAUAGUUGCCAACGACAACUAUGCUCCGGUUGCUCAGGCAGCGUAACGCUGCUUGAAAGACCACAUGAAAGUCCUGGCGGGUUAAGCGCCGCCAGGCGGGGUUCGGAGGCGCCUGGCAACAGAAGCCUCCACU